CUUCUCAAUUGUUAUUUUUCUUUAUCAGUAUGCACCGAUGGAAACACUAAUGUCUUCGUUUUCUUGAUUGCAGGUUUGAUAACGACAAUCUACUCCUCUAUGGUGCAUGAUGAAAGAUCAUCUCUUCUCAAACCUAAGUAGAGGCAUCGAAGACCAAAUAGGUUACGACAUUUAUGUCAACUUCCUGAAAAUUCAGAUUUUGUUUCUCCAUCGUAACAUCCAUAAUAUUCAUUUCUCCAUCGUCGUUACUAUAUUUUCGCCUGAAGGUCGUCUCUUUCAAGUCGGUAUGAAUCCCUAAACCCUAUUUCACCACAAUUAUCUCCAAAUAUCUUCUUAUUAAGAAUUGAUGUUCUUCUAUGAUGGAUCAUUAGAUAAGGAAAUUACGUUUCAUUAUGGUUCACUUCAGUAAAUUUUAUACGAUUUUGAUUUGAAUUAGGGUUUUUUCCUUAUGAAUUAUGUUGAUGUCGGCAUGAAUUCAGGUAUAUUACGUUUAUUUUCCCCUAAUCUUCAAUAUCAAACAUUCUCUUCUUCUCUUUUUCUCCUGCUUCUAACGACCUUAAGGGUGACACCUCCACCCAAUGAAUCAGGUAUACUAGGGUUUUAGUUUAAUUGCGACCUUUAUCACAUUAUUCUUCCCAAAUCCAUUUUUCAUCUUACAUCUUUGUUGCAGGUAAACAGGUAUGAAGUUGACACUUAUACAAGUUUGAUAUUUCUCAAUGAGCUUUCAGGGUCACUUAAAACUCGAUUCUGAUAGAUAUAAGUUUGUGACAGGUGGAUGCUCCUGUAUAUGCAGUAGGGACUGAUGUAAAACCAACAGAAAUAGCUAGACAAGGUCUUCAAGAGGCUAAAAAAAGAAUGUAGAUGUGGUUAUAAUGGAUACAACAGGAAGGAUUCAGAUAGCCAAAAAUAUGAUGGAUGAAUUGAAAGAUGUGAAGAGAGCAUUGAAUCCCACAAAAGUUUUGCUUGUUGUGGAUGCGAUGACAGGGCAAGAAGCUGCAGUGCUAUUCUAACUAAGCUAGAUGGGAUUCAAAGAGGUGGAACAGCUCUGAGUGUUAAAGAGGUGUCAGGAAAGCCAAUUAAGCUUGUGGAACGUGGAGAGAGGAUGGAGGAUCUUGAACCCUUUUAUCUAGAUCGAAUAGCAGGAAGGAUCUUGGGCAUGGGAGAAGUUCUCUUAUUUGUGGAGAAAGCACAAGAAGUUAUUGAUUAUGAUUCACAUAUCAAAGUGCGGGUGGUAAAGAUGUAUACUCACAAAUAAAACUUCCAAUGUUGUUUAUAAGGAAGUUUUUCAUAAUUUAUAACCAACUUUUUUGUAGCAUCUUUUGGUCAUUUUUAGCAAAUUACACUUCAUCCAUCAUAUUAAUUUAUUUAUUUAUAAUUAUGUAUUGUAUUUUUUUUUAUGUUAUUUUCAUUACUGAAAUGUUAUGUUUGUUUUGUAUCAAAUCAAUUUUGAUGUAUUUUUGGGUUUUUUUUUGUCAUUACUCAAAUGUAUGUUGCAUUAUAUAAAGUCAUGACUUUUAUAAAAUAGGUGGUUUUACAUUAAUUAAAUACUUAAAAUUUAUAAAAUUACUAAUAAUCUAGAACAUAUCUGAAGAUAAACAACACAAUUGCACGAAUUUCAAGGUUAUGACCAGUAAGCCUAAAAAAGAAACACAUGACGUGGUAAAUCAAGGUAAAGUUUUGAAAAAAGCUGACGAAUACAACACCAUUUCUAUUAAUCUCACGAAAUUAACACCAUUAACGAUGAAGAAUGAGUAAAAAUCCUACGAUGACAAUGACGAAUGAUGGAGAUGGUGGAGUUGAUUUAUUGGGAUGGUAAUUUAUAAGUGUAAAAGUUGCAUUUUAGCCAACAAACGUUUUUUUUCCACUUGCUUCCUUGUGGUUGUGUCAUCAUCUUUGUAUGCUCAACGAUAAUCAUGCAUCAAAAGGAAUGGUUUUAAAAAGGGUUUAAGUCAUUUUUGGUCACUUAACUUUUGGUUUUGUGCUCAUUUGGUCACUUAACUCUUUUUAAGUUUUAAAUGGUCAUCAAACUUUUGAUUUUGUGCUUAUUUAGUCACU